rnacentral:rRNA from 1 species
AAUGAACGUUGGCGGCGUGGAUUAGGCAUGCAAGUCGAGCGAGAACCCCGCAAGGGGGGACAGCGGCGAAAGGGACAGUAAUGUGUAGAUUAUCUGCCCUCAGGUCCGGGAUAGCUGCGGGAAACUGCAGGUAAUACCGGAUAACAUCUCCGGAUCAAAGGUGUGAUUCCGCCUGAGGAUGAGUCUGCAUCCUAUUAGCUAGUUGGUGGGGUAAUGGCCUACCAAGGCAUUGAUGGGUAGCAGGUGUGAGAGCACGACCUGCGUCAUUGGGACUGAGACACUGCCCAGACACCUACGGGUGGCUGCAGUCGAGAAUCUUCGGCAAUGGGCGCAAGCCUGACCGAGCGACGCCGCGUGUGGGAUGAAGGCCUGCGGGUUGUAAACCACUGUCAGAGGGGAUGAAAUGCAGGUGGGUGCUCCCAUCUGUUUGACAUAGCCUCAGAGGAAGGACGGGCUAAGUUCGUG